CCUACGGGAGUCAGCAGUGGGGAAUAUUGGACAAUGGGGGGAACCCUGAUCCAGCGACGCCGCGUGAGUGAAGAAGUAUUUCGGUAUGUAAAGCUCUAUCAGCAGGGAAGAAAGAAAUGACGGUACCUGACUAAGAAGCCCCGGCUAACUACGUGCCAGCAGCCGCGGUAAUACGGAGGGGGCAAGCGUUAUCCGGAUUUACUGGGUGUAAAGGGAGCGUAGACGGCGAUGCAAGUCUGAAGUGAAAGGCGGGGGCCCAACCUCCGGACUGCUUUGGAAACUGUAUGGCUGGAGUGCAGGAGAGGUAAGUGGAAUUCCUAGUGUAGCGGUGAAAUGCGUAGAUAUUAGGAGGAACACCAGUGGCGAAGGCGGCUUACUGGACUGUAACUGACGUUGAGGCUCGAAAGCGUGGGGAGCAAACAGGAUUAGAUACCCUUGUAGUC
rnacentral:rRNA from 1 species